GAAAGCAGGGGAUCUUCGGACCUUGCGCUAUUGGAUGUGCCUAUGUCGGAUUAGCUAGUUGGUGGGGUAAAGGCCUACCAAGGCGACGAUCCGUAGCUGGUCUGAGAGGAUGAUCAGCCACAUCGGGACUGAGACACGGCCCGAACUCCUACGGGAGGCAGCAGUGGGGAAUAUUGGACAAUGGGGGCAACCCUGAUCCAGCCAUGCCGCGUGUGUGAAGAAGGCUUUCGGGUUGUAAAGCACUUUCAGUGAGGAGGAAAACUCUGCGACUAAUACUCGUAGGGCUUGACGUUACUCACAGAAGAAGCACCGGCUAACUCCGUGCCAGCAGCCGCGGUAAUACGGAGGGUGCAAGCGUUAAUCGGAAUUACUGGGCGUAAAGCGCGCGUAGGUGGUUUGAUAAGCGAGAUGUGAAAGCCCCGGGCUUAACCUGGGAACGGCAUUUCGAACUGUCAGGCUAG
rnacentral:rRNA from 2 species